CCUACGGGAGGCAGCAGUGGGGAAUAUUGGGCAAUGGGCGCAAGCCUGACCCAGCAAUGCCGCGUGAAGGAAGAAGGCUUUCGGGUUGUAAACUUCUUUGACAGGGGAAGAGCAGAAGACGGUACCCUGAAAACAAGCCACGGCUAACUACGUGCCAGCAGCCGCGGUAAUACGUAGGUGGCAAGCGUUGUCCGGAUUUACUGGGUGUAAAGGGCGUGUAGCCGGGAAGGCAAGUCAGAUGUGAAAUCUGGAGGCUCAACCUCCAAAUUGCAUUUGAAACUGUUUUUCUUGAGUACUGGAGAGGCAGACGGAAUGACUUGGGUAGCGGUGAAAUGCGUAGAUAUAAGGAGGAACACCAGUGGCGAAGGCGGUCUGCUGGACAGCAACUGACGGUGAGGCGCGAAAGCGUGGGGAGCAAACAGGAUUAGAUACCCCUGUAGUC
rnacentral:rRNA from 1 species